CGGCGACGAACUGGCCGAAGAUAAUAGAGAAUCAUGUGAAAGUCAUGAACGGGCCCGCCGCUGUAUGCGCAGAGGGGUGACGCGAGGCGAAAGCCGGCCAUUGGGGAAACCUGAGAAGGCCGCGUCAACCGGACGGAAGUCCAUGCGCGAGUCAGAAGAACUGCUGCGA
rnacentral:ncRNA from 1 species